GACUUGUGUGCGCCGGAUGCGGCGAUCUGCGGCCAAAAGGUCGUUGCGAUCAGCCCGUCCUGGCGCCGUAAAAUUUGCAACUGAGUCGCCUCUGGUCUUAAUUGGUCGGUGGCGUCUGCUCGGUUGCUCGUUUACUGUGAGAAAAUUGGAGUGUUCAAGGCAGGCGUGGAUUGCAACUGAACAUGUUAGCAUGGAAUAAUAAGAUAGGGCUUUGGUACUAUUUUGUUGGUUUCUAGGACCAAAGUAAUGAUUGAUAGGGACAGUUGGGGGUGCUAGUAUUCAAUGGCCAGAGGUGAAAUUCUCGGAUUCAUUGAAGACUAACAAAUGCGAAAGCAUU
rnacentral:rRNA from 1 species